AGUGUUUUCAAAGGCGUUGCCGAGGCCCGCCCGGUGCGCGCUCCGGUGUGGGGCGACCGGAAAUUGCCUCGCCGGGUCAAAAUGAGGCGUGCUGCUGGAAAGGCGGUCGAAUAGGCGACGGAGCGGCGCUCUUUUUGCAGAGGCGGCGCCUCAGGCAGGAAGGCGAGGAAGAAGAAGAAGACGCGACUCGAGAUCGACCCCUAGAGUGAAUUCAGAUUUCAGAACGCAGCGCAGGAGGAAGAGUGAAAACACGAGUGUGUGGGUGCGAUGCUUGGCUGGUGGAUCUACGAGGUACAAAUUGCAAUCUCACUUCACUUCUCUUUUCUUUUUUCUUCUUCAAGUGUUGGUUUGAUUGAGGAACCGAUGGUCUUGGUUCCAUCUCAAUUUUGUUUAGCUUGAUUCUUUAUUUUUUUUUCCUUUUUUCAUAUUCAAGUCUUGGUCUGUUGGUGCGUUCCUUUGCAUCUCAUAUGGGUAUGAGGAAUUUUGGUUCUUUAAUUGUAAUUCUAGUCUCGUAUUUGAGUUCUUUGUUUGCAACCAAUUUUGAAAUAUAGGAAGAGUUGUCAUUGACUUUUUAAUGUGUUUAAUCUUGAAUGAUGAAAUCAAUGUCCAAUUCAUGGUGUUAAUUGAACCACGAGAGUUCUAUUUUGAGGUCGAAGACGGCUUGGAUUUACGGCCAGCAGAGGAAUGUCUCGGCUCAGUUGCUGCGUCUCUUUUUCCAUGACUGCUUCAUUGAGGUAAAGAACUCAGAUUCUUCAUGACUUUGGUGUGAGUUUUUUUGUGAUAUGGCUUUAAUUUCUGGUUUGAAGUAUCGAAAUAUAGGGAUAUAUGGAUUCUUGAAAUGAAGUGCAGUUGUUAUUUUCGAAUAAAUUUAGUAUGAACUUAUGUAUUAUUGAAUUUAAUGUUAUGAGAGUGCUUAUUUAGAACCUUAUUUAAGUAUAUUCAUAUUAUUUAUAAAUGUAAUGUAUUAUUAUAAUAA